UCGUAACAAGGUUUCCGUAGGUGAACCUGCGGAAGGAUCAUUAAUUAUGUUAAAGCGCCUUACCUCUUAGGGUUUCCUCUGGGGUAAGUGAUUGCUUCUACACUGUGAAAAUUUGGCUGAGAGACUCAGACUGGUCAUGGGUAGACCUAUCUGGGGUUUGAUCGAUGCCACUCCUGGUUUCAGGAGCACCCUUCAUAAUAAACCUAGAAAUUCAGUAUUAUAAAGUUUAAUAAAAAACAACUUUUAACAAUGGAUCUCUUGGUUCUCGCAUCGAUGAAGAACGUAGCAAAGUGCGAUAACUAGUGUGAAUUGCAUAUUCAGUGAAUCAUCGAGUCUUUGAACGCAGCUUGCACUCUAUGGUUUUUCUAUAGAGUACGCCUGCUUCAGUAUCAUCACAAACCCACACAUAACAUUUGUUUAUGUGGUAAUGGGUCGCAUCGCUGUUUUAUUACAGUGAGCACCUAAAAUGUGUGUGAUUUUCUGUCUGGCUUGCUAGGCAGGAAUAUUACGCUGGUCUCAGGAUCUUUUUCUUUGGUUCGCCCAGGAAGUAAAGUACAAGAGUAUAAUCCAGCAACUUUCAAACUAUGAUCUGAAGUCAGGUGGGAUUACCCGCUGAACCUAAGCAUAUCA
rnacentral:misc_RNA from 1 species